rnacentral:lncRNA from 1 species
UUCUGAAUUCUUUCCCAGAGGCAGUGACAAAAAUCAAACAUCCGAUGUGUUCUUUACCUUUCAGUAAGCUCAGCCUCCCUGCUUGUGUCACAUCUCUAAACAUACGUACAUGCGUGAUUGAAACUGUCUAUUGAAAGCAAUAUUACAUUAACAUUAUCAAUACUGAAUUAGAGAAAAUAUCUAUCAAUGUCACCAAUUCCACCUGUCUCUUGAUGUAUGACUUUUUACCUGACAGGCUAAAUAACAAUAGAAAGUUCUUUUUAAAAAAUAGAAGAGUUGCUAUGCAGGGACUUUUUUGGAAUUAAGUGCCCCAGAGAACCUAGAAAUGUGCUUUAAAACUUUUUGUUUCACCUGGCAGAUCCAAAAAAAAUUUGGAAGCUUUUGGUUGAAUUCCCUCAUUACUUGAAGUUGUUUUAUGAAAAUUGAAUAUAUAUAUCUGUUAGGUUACCAAGACUUAUGGUUAGCUAUCUUAAUGGCUAGUGAUAUAAGACCUUGUAACAAACCCUACCAAUGGAACUGACAGGAUUUUACCAGGGAGGAUAUUGCAGUACCUGUAAGAGGAAGGGAUACAAAUUGGCACUUCAUACAUUUGUGAGAACAAUUGCCUUUAAUGUGUCUAUUUGGUUUUCAUAAUAUUGCAGGCCUCUGCUCUUGUAAGAAGUUAGCUGCAGAACCCACAUGUGAAUCCUUGUAGGACUCUGGAGAAGAUCAAAUGGGAGCUUAGAUGUGGAAGCUCUUUGGAAACCAAGAAACACUCUGAAAAUGAAAAGGGUGGAAGAGUAAACUGUUCCUGUUUCUCCAUCUUGACAGGAAGCAGAAGUUCUCCUUAGCUGAUUUUUCUUCUUGCCUUAUACUGGGUUCUUUAACACCAGAACAAAAAUAAAUAAAUAAAAGAAUCUUCCAGAAAUUCAUGAAGAGACUUCAGGUCAGGAAAGCCUGAACUUUCUCAUCCAACACCCGUUCAAGUCGGAGGAUGCUGAUUAAUUCAUGAUGGAAAGGUAUCAAUUUCACAGCCCAGACCUCUACAUUCUUGAAAUGCUCUUCUCAUGGGAGACAUUAAAUAAGCUUUGAAUUAACUCUCUUCUUGGACUAAAAGGCCCUCAGCAUUCCUGUCAAUUUCUACACUCCUGAAGCUUCAUCUGGAGACCUCUGUGGAUUCUAUAACUCAAAGACCCAGGCUGACGGCUGGUGGAAUAGCUACCAUCUCAAACAUGGCGUGAUGCUGCAUCAGAGAGAAAAAUAAGCUCUUGCAUUGACAAUGAAAUGUCUACCCUGUAGUGACUUGUGCUUACUUCCACUCACAAGUGAUUGCCCAGAGCUACUUACCUGGCUCCAAUCUACCACUGGGUCAGACGUUUGCUGAAUUCAGUUCUGAGCUUUUGAACCAAAAGCAGAUCUUCAGAACAAGAAACAAGAUAAUAAAAGAGAAACAUGAAGAAACUGAAGAUGAUUGGAGAAAUAUGAAUCAAGAUGAUUAGACCUAGCAGAGGGCUGGCUGGAUGGCAUUUAUGUUGACAAUGGACUCCUACACAGAGGAUGAUCAUGGUCUAGGACAUAAUAGUCAUUCAAUCAUCAUUUCUUAAAUGAUUUUUUAAAACAAGUGAAUGAAUGACCAAUUAUAUACCUUCCCUGAGCCAAUAAAAUAUAUUAAAAGUAUAGGCCUGGGCACAGUGGCUCAUGCCUGU